GCACUGCUGAGGAGUUCCACAAUAGGACGAAAUGGCCGUCCAGUGC
rfam:Schistosoma curassoni strain Dakar, Senegal genome assembly, scaffold: SCTD_scaffold0010612